UGAAUACGAGACGCUAAGGCGUCGAAGUAGUGUAUGUCAUACUUCCAAGAAAAGCUUGCACUGUCAUAGAUAAAAAACGCCUGUACCAUAACCGACACAGGUGGGUAGGUAGAGUAUACUAAGGGGCGCGAGAUAACUCUCUCUAAGGAACUCGGCAAAAUAACUCCGUAACUUCGGGAGAAGGAGUGCCUUAUUCGUAAGGUUGCAAUAACAAGAUCCAAGCAACUGUUUAUCAAAAACACAGGUCUCCGCUAAGUCGUAAGGCGAUGUAUGGGGGCUGACGCCUGCCCAGUGCCAGAAGGUUAAAGAAGUUGGUUAGCAAUUGCGAAGCUGAUAACUGAAGCCCUGGUGAACGGCGGCCGUAACAAUAACGGUCCUAAGGUAGCGAAAUUCCUUGUCGGGUAAGUUCCGACCCGCACGAAAGGCGUAAUGAUUUGGAUACUGUCUCGGAGAGGGGCUCGGUGAAAUAGACUUGUCUGUGAAGAUGCGGACUACCUGCACCAGGACAGAAAGACCCUAUGAAGCUUUACUGUAACUUGAAAUUGAAAUUGGACUUUAUUCGCGCAGCAUAGGUGGGAGGCGUUGAUUAUAAUCUUGCGGGAUUAUUGGAGCCAUCAGUGAGAUACCACUCUUGUAAUGUUAGAUUUCUAACUUUGAAUCAUUAUCUGGUCAAAGAACAGUUUCAGGCGGGCAGUUUGACUGGGGCGGUCGCCUCCUAAACGGUAACGGAGGCGUACAAAGGUUUCCUCUGAACGGUUAGAAAUCGUAUCUAGAGUGUAAAGGCAUAAGGAAGCUUGACUGUGAGACCUACAAGUCGAGCAGGGACGAAAGUCGGUCUUAGUGAUCUGACGGUACUGAGUGGAAAGGCCGUCACUCAACGGAUAAAAGUUACUCUAAGGAUAACAGGCUGAUCUCCCCCAAGAGUUCACAUCUACGGGGAGGUUUGGCACCUCGAUGUCGGCUCAUCGCAUCCUGGGGCGGUAGUACGUCCCAAGGGUUGGGCUGUUCGCCCAUGAAAGCGGUACGCGAGCUGGGUUCAGAACGUCGUGAGACAGUUCGGUCCAUAUCCGGUGUAGGCGUUAGAAUAUUGAGAGGAGCCUUCUUUAGUACGAGAGGACCGAGAAGGACAUACCUCUGGUGUACCAGUUAUCGUGCCAACGGUAAACGCUGGGUAGCUAUGUAUGGAGUGGAUAACCGCUGAAAGCAUCUAAGUGGGAAGCCCACCUCAAGAUAAGUAUUCUCAC
rnacentral:rRNA from 1 species